AAGAAUACAGCCGCCGUUCUCUCUCUUUCUCUUUCCCUCCGCCUCUCUCCUCUCCCAUUUAGAGUCAAACCUCAGUCUCCCUUUCACCCUGCCAGAUCUUGCCCGCCCAUUUUGGGCAAAAGGUUUCAAUAUUUUUGUAUUCUGCCCAGCUAAUAGCAACGUUCAACGGCCGCACAUGAUCGUCUCUCUCAUCUCUUUCCUUUUGCAUUUCUUUCUUCAACCAUGGCAGAUCCUUGCCAUCCCUUUUUCGUGUAAAUAGCUACACGGUCAACGCAAGAGGCCAAGCAAACGUUUGAAAUCUGAUUUUAUACAGAGAAAAAAAAAAACAAAAGUAUUUCAACCCGUGACACCCCUCAGAUGAUACUGGCUGCCACACUUUUGGACUGUUCUUGAACGGUCGAUUUUGAAAUUGGAAACCUUUCAACUUAAAAUCCCGCCCAAAUUGAAACCCUAGACUUUAAUUUUUCGGGUCCGUUGGCUUACCCCUAAAUUUUAUGCGAGUUGAUAAAUUACUUUUAGCUAUUCUUGAACAUUUUCUGGACAUAAAACUUUCUGGUUCGUUUCGAUCAUCUGAGGUUCGAAUCGUUCGUCGUAGUCGAGUACAGAUUCGAGACCCGACGCCCCAUUUCACUGUACACGGAAAAGAGUUUCAUUUUUGAGACUCAACGACGUCGUUAUCACACCGAGUCCGCUCAUCGUUAUCCCCCUGGCUCUUUCUUAAAAUGCAUCUGGACAAAAAAUGAAAGAGGAGGGGUGAAAUCCUGAACCUCAAACGCAAGCUGGCUGCUACAGUGCCUCUGUUUUCUUCCAUGCUCGGGUUGUGUAGGAGGCAUUAGAUAUUUAGCUAAAUGUUCCAUUAAGUUGUUUCGUUGUGUUAGUUUAUUGCCUCUGUUUGCUUGUGUGGUAUUUGGUGAACAAUAGGACUAACAAUCGGUUUAUUUAGUCAUAAUAAGUUUCAUCUAUAACUAGUAA